rnacentral:rRNA from 1 species
CUGCGAAUGGCUCAUUAAAUCAGUUAUCGUAUAUUUGAUAGUACCUACUACAUGGAUAACCGUGGUAAUUCUAGAGCUAAUACAUGCUUAAAAUCCCGACUUCGGAAGGGAUGUAUUUAUUAGAUUAAAAACCAAUGCCCUUCGGGGCUCACUGGUGAUUCAUAAUAACUUCUCGAAUCGCAUGGCCUUGUGCCGGCGAUGGUUCAUUCAAAUUUCUGCCCUAUCAACUUUCGACGGCUGGGUCUUGGCCAGCCGUGGUUACAACGGGUAACGGAGGGUUAGGGCUUGACCCCGGAGAAGGAGCCUGAGAAACGGCUACUACAUCCAAGGAAGGCAGCAGGCGCGCAAAUUACCCAAUCCCGACACGGGGAGGUAGUGACAAUAAAUACUGAUACAGGGCUCUUUUGGGUCUUGUAAUUGGAAUGAGUACAAUUUAAAUCCCUUAACGAGGAACAAUUGGAGGGCAAGUCUGGUGCCAGCAGCCGCGGUAAUUCCAGCUCCAAUAGCGUAUAUUAAAGUUGUUGCAGUUAAAAAGCUCGUAGUUGAACCUUGGGCCUGGCUGGCCGGUCUGCCUCACCGCAUGCACUGGUCCGGCCGGGCCUUUCCCUCUGGGGAUCCGCAUGCCCUUCACUGGGUG